rnacentral:rRNA from 1 species
GGAUGAACGCUGGCGGUAUGCCUAACACAUGCAAGUCGAACGAAAUCUUCGGAUUUAGUGGCGGACGGGUGAGUAACGCGUGAGAAUCUGCCUUCAGGAUGGGGACAACAGUUAGAAAUGACUGCUAAAACCCAAUGUGCCUAAGGGUGAAAUAUUGAUAGCCUGGAGAGGAGCUCGCGUCCGAUUAGUUAGUUGGUGGGGUAAAAGCCUACCAAGGCAGCGAUCGGUAGCUGGUCUGAGAGGAUGAGCAGCCACACUGGGACUGAGACACGGCCCAGACUCCUACGGGAGGCAGCAGUGGGGAAUUUUCCGCAAUGGGCGAAAGCCUGACGGAGCAAUACCGCGUGGGGGAGGAAGACUUUUGGGUCGUAAACCUCUUUUAUUAAGGAAGAAGAAAGUGACGGUACUUAAAGAAUAAGCAUCGGCUAACUCCGUGCCAGCAGCCGCGGUAAUACGGAGGAUGCAAGCGUUAUCCGGAAUCAUUGGGCGUAAAGCGUCCGCAGGUGGUUAUUCAAGUCUGCUGUUAAAGACAGAAGCUCAACUUCUGAAAGGCGGUGGAAACUGAAUAACUAGAGUACGGUAGGGGUUGAGGGAAUUCCCAGUGUAGCGGUGAAAUGCGUAGAUAUUGGGAAGAACACCAGUGGCGAAGGCGCUCAACUGGGCCGUAACUGACACUCAGGGACGAAAGCUAGGGGAGCGAAAGGGAUUAGAUACCCCUGUAGUCCUAGCUGUAAACGAUGAACACUAGGCGUUGCUUGUAUCGACCCGAGCAGUGCUGUAGCCAACGCGUUAAGUGUUCCGCCUGGGGAGUACGCACGCAAGUGUGAAACUCAAAGGAAUUGACGGGGGCCCGCACAAGCGGUGGAGUAUGUGGUUUAAUUCGAUGCAACGCGAAGAACCUUACCAGGACUUGACAUCUCAAGAAUCCUCUGUAAUGGGAGGAGUGCCUUAGGGAACUUGGAGACAGGUGGUGCAUGGCUGUCGUCAGCUCGUGUCGUGAGAUGUUGGGUUAAGUCCCGCAACGAGCGCAACCCUCAUUCUUAGUUGCCAGCAUUAAGUUGGGCACUUUAGGAAGACUGCCGGUGACAAACCGGAGGAAGGUGGGGAUGACGUCAAGUCAGCAUGCCCCUCACGUCCUGGGCUACACACGUACUACAAUGGUUGGGACAAAGGGCAGCAAGCUCGCGAGAGUAAGCGAAUCUCAACAAACCCAGCCUCAGUUCAGAUUGCAGGCUGCAACUCGCCUGCAUGAAGGAGGAAUCGCUAGUAAUCGCAGGUCAGCAUACUGCGGUGAAUUCGUUCCCGGGCCUUGUACACACCGCCCGUCACACCAUGGAAGUUGGCCACGCCCGAAGUCGUUACCCUAACCAUGAAUUUGGAGGGGGAUGCCGAAGGCAGGGCUGGUGACUAGGGU